AACAUUGCUAUUAUAGACUAAUGUUGUGGUGAUGGAAAUGUAAAACAAAUUAAAUAAACAAUAUUUUCCUGCAGAAGACAAUACAGUGGUAUAGAGCAACACAGGUGGGGCAUGCAGGUAGACUGUAAAAGACAAUACAGUGGUAUAGAGCAACACAGGUGGGGCCUGCAGGUAGACUGUAAAAGACAAUACAGUGGUAUAGAGCAACACAGGUGGGGCCUGCAGGUAGACUGUAAAAGACAAUACAGUGGUAUAGAGCAACACAGGUGGGGCCUGCAGGUAGACUGUAAAAGACAAUACAGUGGUAUAGAGCAACACAGGUGGGGCCUGCAGGUAGACUGUAAAAGACAAUACAGUGGUAUAGAGCAACACAGGUGGGGCCUGCAGGUAGACUGUAAAAGACAAUACAGUGGUAUAGAGCAACACAGGUGGGGCCUGCAGGUAGACUGUAAAAGACAAUACAGUGGUAUAGAGCAACACAGGUGGGGCCUGCAGGUAGACUGUAAAAGACAAUACAGUGGUAUAGAGCAACACAGGUGGGGCCUGCAGGUAGACUGUAAAAGACAAUACAGUGGUAUAGAGCAACACAGGUGGGGCCUGCAGGUAGACUGUAAAAGACAAUACAGUGGUAUAGAGCAACACAGGUGGGGCCUGCAGGUAGACUGUAAAAGACAAUACAGUGGUAUAGAGCAACACAGGUGGGGCCUGCAGGUAGGCUGCAGAAGGACUAACAGUGGUAUAGAGCAACACAGGUGGGGCCUGCAGGUAGACUGUAAAAGACAAUACAGUGGUAUAGAGCAACACAGGUGGGGCCUGCAGGUAGACUGUAAAAGACAAUACAGUGGUAUAGAGCAACACGGGUGGGGCCUGCAGGUGGGCUGCAGAAGGACUAACAGUGGUAUAGAGCAACACAGGUGGGGCCUGCAGGUAGACUGUAAAAGACAAUACAGUGGUAUAGAGCAACACAGGUGGGGCCUGCAGGUAGACUGCAGAAGGACUAACAGUG